rnacentral:rRNA from 1 species
AGCGAACGCUGGCGGCAGGCUUAACACAUGCAAGUCGAGCGGGCACUUUCGGGUGUCAGCGGCGGACGGGUGCGUAACGCGUGGGAACGUGCCCUCUGGUUCGGAAUAACUCAGGGAAACUUGAGCUAAUACCGGAUACGCCCUUUUGGGGAAAGGCUUGCUGCCGGAGGAUCGGCCCGCGUCUGAUUAGCUAGUUGGUGAGGUAACGGCUCACCAAGGCGACGAUCAGUAGCUGGUCUGAGAGGAUGAUCAGCCACACUGGGACUGAGACACGGCCCAGAAUCCUACGGGAAGCAGCAGUGGGGAAUAUUGGACAAUGGGCGCAAGCCUGAUCCAGCCAUGCCGCGUGAGUGAUGAAGGCCUUAGGGUUGUAAAGCUCUUUUAUCCGGGACGAUAAUGACGGUACCGGAGGAAUAAGCCCCGGCUAACUUCGUG